GGUAGAUUUAGCGGUAAAUUCGUAUAAAUUCUUGCAGGUGCCCCGAGGAAGUGUCCAACAAGUAUCAGGUGUCCCAAAGUGUGUCAAUGAAACCCAGCGACGAACUCGGGGAGGAAUAUUUCGUAGAUUGUACGAGCUUCAAACAAUUUCGAACAAUCUCCGGCGAUUACCGAGAGCACGCAGCGCGUCCAUGGGGACUGACAGCGUUUAGAUGGGAACCCCAUAGCCGUGGGAAAGUCCAGCUCGCAGAAACCAGUGCUGCGGGAAACAGUGCAAACAGAAAGGACGAGACAGCGCGGAAAGAAAGGGAAAAUGGCAGACGGCGCCGGGACAGAAGUAGUAUUAAUUUCCUCGAGCCCGGAGGUCCUGGCACAUCAUUCUCCGGCAGACAGCCAGGAAAGACGAGCACCGCCGACCUCCCUUUCCCGCUUCCCUUCGACCGGGGCCCGUGUGUGUGUCUGCCUUCCCGAUAUUGCCAGCGUCGCUGCGACGCGCUGUCUGCAAUUCCCUCGGCUCAAAGCCAACGGUGCCUCUUGUUUUCCCCCGCGAAACAGGCCAACUUUUCGCGCAACAACCACUCGAAGAUCAUUCUUUGAUCGCGGCACCGGAGAAUCGUUUUAUUCGGCUCGGGGACCGACGAGGCUCCGACGAGGCUUCGACGAGGACAGGAACUUCUAUGUAGGUGAACAGCAUGCUGGAUCAGAUCUGGAGAAGUCCAGUUGCCCUGAGAAGUCAACGAAACGACGAACGAUGAGCACCAACUUUGGGCCCGGACGAAUUUUGCACGGCAAAGGUAGACGAUGAAGUCGAGCAGACCAGAGAACGAUUUGGAAGAGCAAUUCGAGGAUUCUUAGGAUUAAUCGAACGUGGGAGAUCGAGCGACGAAUGACCGAUCGAAUUAAUUUUUGCACAUCACAAUAAGCGAUCCAUUGUGCCAGGAUCCCCUUUUCUGAUCAUUUCUGAUGAAAGCACAGGAUUUAGACUGUCUAGAAAAUGGGCCGAAAAAUAAAUUAGAUUCGACAUUGAAUCAAACAGCGAAGCCUCGACGAAGAAUUACUCGGAUUCCAAUUAAUUUUUGCACAUCGCAAUAAGGGAUCCAUUAUGCUAGGGAUCCCCUUUCUGAUAAUUUCUGAUGAACGCACAGGAUUAAGACUAGACUGUCUAGAAAAUGGGCCAGAAAAUAAAUUAGAUUCGACAUUGAAUCAAACAGCGAA